rnacentral:lncRNA from 1 species
CAUAAAUCUAAAAAAAAACCCAGGAAUUAUACUUGCCUAAUUAUACUAUUCAUUUAGCAUUUCAUCCACCACUUCCUUUCUCCAGGAGAAUUGUGAAGGUAAUGUUUAUGUUUGAUAUCUGAGCUGGAAAUCCCAAUGCAUCAUGGGUUCAUAACCAAAGAUGAACAGGGUUUCCCGCUGCAGUGGCUUCUGGACUGAGAGGGGAGAGAUUUGGGUUCUGGCCAAGGCUUUGCCUCUAGUAGCUCGAUUCCUCUGGGUAAGUUUUUGUAUGGGGAUGGAAUUAGGGAUCAUCUAGUCCAGCCUUCAUUGGAUGGAGGCAUUUCAUCUGUGAAAUCUGGCUGGUGAGUAUCUGUUCUGCUUAUUUUCUGGGCCUCAGUGUGCUGUCGUUUGUACAAUAAGGAGAGCUGAUAAAUGAUUUGAUCAAGGGACCAAGUUGGGGCUAGGAAGGUUGAAAAAGCAGAUGCCAGGACCCUUAAGACUAAAUGUAAUGACAUCACAGUCUGAUAAACUUUAGUUAGGGUCUAAAUAAGAACCCCUGAGCCCUAUUUGAGUCUUCUCUCUCCAUAGGUCCACUCUCCUCUGGUCAAUAGUGGGGAAUGUUCUAGGACAGUGGGGCACCUAUAAUUUGGCCUGGAGCCACUCAUAGUUCCCCGGCAGCCUUCUUAAAGGAGCUAAAGUUAGGAUGUCAAGUGAGCCUGUGCAUUUCUGAGCUGGGUAUUAUUCUAAGGUCCUGCGGUUUCAGCUGGCCUCUUUCCCUUGCUUAGUGCCUCCAUCCUCUUGCUUUGUUUUACAGCCUGCAAACCUCAAGGGCAUGCAGUUGGGUCAAGCUGAAAUCAGCUGAAGGCUUGCAGCAGCAUUUAUCUGAGGAAGGACCCUUGGGUCAUUGUCAUGGUGGAUUGGCUGGUGAUUUGGUCAAGGAUUGGGUGGGUGGAGGCUACUUCUUCCAAGGCCUUAGGUCGUUGAUGGUCAAAUCCCUGUGGAUCCCAGGAGCUGGUAUUUCUAGCUGGUAUGCACCAUUGAUUUCAAAUGGCAUCCACUUUCUUUCUACUUUCUUGGAUUAAUUUAGUCCAAAAUAACUUUUGGUCUGGGUCAUUUAAUGUCUGAUGGGUGUACAUCCAUGGGUCUUAUCAACU